rnacentral:ncRNA from 1 species
GGGUUAGGGUUAGGGUUAGCUGAUACCGGAGAGGAAGCCUUAGAGACAGCUUUCACGUCCAAGGAUGGCAGCAGGCGCGAAACUUACCCAAUUGUUUUUUGUGACAGAGGUAGUUAUGACGUAUUCUUUAGAGAGAGACCUUGUUAGACAUGGUCCAUAGCGACUGGAGGGCAAGUCUGGUGCCAGCAGCCGCGGUAAUUCCAGCUCCAGUAGU